rnacentral:rRNA from 1 species
AAAUUGAAGAGUUUGAUCAUGGCUCAGAUUGAACGCUGGCGGCAGGCCUAACACAUGCAAGUCGAGCGGAAACGAGUUAUCAGAACCUUCGGGGAACGAUAACGGCGUCGAGCGGCGGACGGGUGAGUAAUGCCUAGGAAAUUGCCCUGAUGUGGGGGAUAACCAUUGGAAACGAUGGCUAAUACCGCAUGAUGCCUACGGGCCAAAGAGGGGGACCUUCGGGCCUCUCGCGUCAGGAUAUGCCUAGGUGGGAUUAGCUAGUUGGUGAGGUAAGGGCUCACCAAGGCGACGAUCCCUAGCUGGUCUGAGAGGAUGAUCAGCCACACUGGAACUGAGACACGGUCCAGACUCCUACGGGAGGCAGCAGUGGGGAAUAUUGCACAAUGGGCGCAAGCCUGAUGCAGCCAUGCCGCGUGUGUGAAGAAGGCCUUCGGGUUGUAAAGCACUUUCAGUCGUGAGGAAGGUGGUAGUGUUAAUAGCACUAU